AUUGAACGCUGGCGGCAUGCCCUACACAUGCAAGUCGAACGGCAGCACGGGAGCAAUCCUGGUGGCGAGUGGCGAACGGGUGAGUAAUAUAUCGGAACGUGCCCAGUCGUGGGGGAUAACGCAGCGAAAGCUGUGCUAAUACCGCAUACGAUCUACGAAUGAAAGCGGGGGAUCGCAAGACCUCGCGCGAUUGGAGCGGCCGAUAUCAGAUUAGCUAGUUGGUGGGGUAAAAGCCCACCAAGGCGACGAUCUGUAGCUGGUCUGAGAGGACGACCAGCCACACUGGAACUGAGACACGGUCCAGACUCCUACGGGAGGCAGCAGUGGGGAAUUUUGGACAAUGGGCGCAAGCCUGAUCCAGCAAUGCCGCGUGCAGGAUGAAGGCCUUCGGGUUGUAAACUGCUUUUGUACGGAACGAAACGGCUCUUUCUAAUAAAGAGGGCUAAUGACGGUACCGUAAGAAUAAGCACCGGCUAACUACGUGCCAGCAGCCGCCGUAA
rnacentral:rRNA from 1 species